CCUACGGGAGGCAGCAGUGAGGAAUAUUGGACAAUGGACGAAAGUCUGAUCCAGCUAUGCCGCGUGCAGGAUGACGGCCCUAUGGGUUGUAAACUGCUUUUAUACAGGAAGAAAAACUCCGACGUGUCGGAGCUUGACGGUACUGUAAGAAUAAGGAUCGGCUAACUCCGUGCCAGCAGCCGCGGUAAUACGGAGGAUCCAAGCGUUAUCCGGAAUCAUUGGGUUUAAAGGGUCCGUAGGCGGUUUUUUAAGUCAGAGGUGAAAUCCUGCAGCUCAACUGUAGAAUUGCCUUUGAUACUGAAAGACUUGAGUUAUUGUGAAGUGGUUAGAAUGUGUGGUGUAGCGGUGAAAUGCAUAGAUAUCACACAGAAUACCAAUUGCGAAGGCAGAUCACUAACAAUAUACUGACGCUCAGGGACGAAAGCGUGGGUAGCGAACAGGAUUAGAUACCCUGGUAGUCCACGCCGUAAACGAUGGAUACUAGCUGUAUGUCUACUUCAGGUAGAUGUGUGGCUAAGCGAAAGUGAUAAGUAUCCCACCUGGGGAGUACGAUCGCAAGAUUGAAACUCAAAGGAAUUGACGG
rnacentral:rRNA from 1 species